AGCAGCCGCCGCGGGAAUACAGAGGAUGCAAGCGUUAUCCGGAAUGAUUGGGUGUAAAGCGUCUGUAGGUGGCUUUUCAAGUCCGCCAUCAAAACCCCGGGCUCAACCCUGGACAGGCAGUGGAAACUACCAAGCUGGAGUACGGUAGGGGCAGAGGGAAUUUCCGGUGGAGAGGUGAAAUGCGUUGAGAUUGGAAAGAACACCAACGGUGAAAGCGCUCUGCUGGGCCGACACUGACACUAAGAGACGAAAUCUAGGGGAGCAAAUGGGAUUAGAUACCCCGGUAGUCCCUGUCUCUUAUAC
rnacentral:rRNA from 1 species